AAUCAACGCUGGCGGCGUGCCUAACACAUGCAAGUCGAACGCGAAAGCCCCGCAAGGGGUAAGUAGAGUGGCAAACGGGUGAGUAACACGUGGGUGACCUGCCUUCGAGUGGGGGAUAACGUCCCGAAAGGGACGCUAAUACCGCAUGACAUCCUGCUUUUGAAAAAGCGGAGAUCAAAGCUGGGGAUCGCAAGACCUAGCGCUUGAAGAGGGGCCCGCGCCUGAUUAGCUAGUUGGUGAGGUAACGGCUCACCAAGGCGACGAUCAGUAUCCGGCCUGAGAGGGCGGACGGACACACUGGGACUGAGACACGGCCCAGACUCCUACGGGAGGCAGCAGUGGGGAAUUGUUCGCAAUGGGCGCAAGCCUGACGGCGCAACGCCGCGUGGAGGACGAAGAGCUUCGGGUCGUAAACUCCUGUCGAGCGGGACGAACGCUUCGCGGAUGAAUAAUCCGCGGAAUUGACGGUACCGCUAAAGGAAGCCCCGGCUAACUCCGUG
rnacentral:rRNA from 1 species